rnacentral:rRNA from 1 species
AAAUUGAAGAGUUUGAUCAUGGCUCAGAUUGAACGCUGGCGGCAGGCCUAACACAUGCAAGUCGAACGGUAACAGGAAGCAGCUUGCUGCUUUGCUGACGAGUGGCGGACGGGUGAGUAAUGUCUGGGAAACUGCCCGAUGGAGGGGGAUAACUACUGGAAACGGUAGCUAAUACCGCAUAACGUCGCAAGACCAAAGAGGGGGACCUUMGGGCCUCUUGCCAUCGGAUGUGCCCAGAUGGGAUUAGCUAGUAGGUGGGGUAAYGGCUCACCUAGGCGACGAUCCCUAGCUGGUCUGAGAGGAUGACCAGCCACACUGGAACUGAGACACGGUCCAGACUCC